CCUUUAUUGACCUGUUUACAUAAUAAUGAAAAAAAGUUAAGAACUAUUCCCAGCUCAGAUUCCCCAUAAUGUCCUUUAUUUGUGUACGCUAUGUUUUAUUAAUAAGCUUAUAACUSUUGCUGUUCUGUUUGACUGGUAGCAUAUCCCAUGUCAGGUUUUUACUCAUUCAUUUCUCCUGACUUUUCUUUUUAAGUGAAAGAUCUUCCUGAAGCUGUUUCUCCUCGAAUAGUGAGCAACGUGCUGUGGAAGAAUACAAACUCUAAGUACCUGUGCGGACGUUUGCCCUCCCUGGUUAGGAGGGGAGCGGUAUACAGGCUAUUUAUACGCAGAUGAUGCAGCAGGAACAGGACACUUCAUCUUUCUCCCUCAUCUCUGAGAUGGAGCAGGGCAUUUAUUUUUCUGGUGCCCUGCGCCCACACCGGCCGCUUUGGUCUCCAUGUACGGGCAGCCUCGGCACUGCCCGAAAGACUGCGGAAGAAAGAGGAACUUUCUGUGAGACCUGCUGCUCCGCCACAAGCUGGGAGCCAUGAGGACCAUUCCGUGUUUGUGGAGAGGAGCACCCAAGUCCCCGGGCACCUCCUGGUCCAGCAGAUGGAUCCGCAAAGCGCCRGCAUGAGGAUGAUGCCUCACAGGUAAGAGGUUGCCCAAAGCCCUGUUGCAGGGAAAAGCUCUGGACACCUGAAGCACGAGUGUCAAGCAGCAAGAAAAUGCCUCUAAUAAAUAGUGGGGGAAAUAUGGUAUAUUGCUUUUA
rnacentral:lncRNA from 1 species